rnacentral:rRNA from 1 species
GAUGAACGCUGGCGGCGUGCUUAACACAUGCAAGUCGAACGGAAAGGCUCCUGCUUGCAGGGGUACUCGAGUGGCGAACGGGUGAGUAACACGUGGGUGAUCUGCCCUGCACUUCGGGAUAAGCCUGGGAAACUGGGUCUAAUACCGGAUAGGACGAUGGUUUGGAUGCCAUUGUGGAAAGUUUUUGCGGUGUGGGAUGAGCUCGCGGCCUAUCAGCUUGUUGGUGGGGUAAUGGCCUACCAAGGCGUCGACGGGUAGCCGGCCUGAGAGGGUGGACGGCGACAUUGGGACUGAGGUACGGCGCAGACUCCUACGGGAGGCAGCAGUGGAGAGUAUUGCGCAAUGGGCGCAAGCCUGAUGCAGCGACGCCGCGUGGGGGAUGACGGCCUUCGGGUUGUAAACUCCUUUCGCUAGGGACGAAGCGCAAGUGACGGUACCUGGAGAAGAAGCACCGGCUAACUACGUG